rnacentral:lncRNA from 1 species
CUUGGACACACUGAACUUCCCAGCUUUAUUUGCCAUUUUAUCCCAGCAUCCCAUGGAGAAUUUGAUCAAAAGAGAAUCUCAGCAUAUAAACGAGCCACACCUGCACUUUUUAUUACAAGGAUGCUGUUUGUUUGCUGGAAUCAGAUGGGGGAAGAAUGGUGGGAAAUUAAGAACCAUAGGAAAGCUGUCCUCACAGUUAAGUUCCUCUGCUGCCGUGGGCUCCUUUCCAAUUGGUGCAACAAGAGAUCUGGGGCCUGUGUUUGCUUUUCUUGGCAUCUUCAGAGGUGAUGUCUAUAGCUGAAGACACUGGGGUUGUUGCCAGAAGCCCUGCUGGAGCUGGAACUAUGUGAUUCCAGGUUCUAAGAUCUCAUCUGCUCCCAGCAUUGGGGAACAUUUUGAUCCUGGCAGACACUCUCAUGCCGGCACUCCAAAUCCACCAGGUUCUUCUCAGACCCCAAGCAGAGCAAUAGAGUGACCUCUGGACACACACAACUGGGCAGCAACACCAUCUCUGGAACUCCCUUGUCUCCCUGGGGACCUUGUCACCGUGGACACAAACAUGAUUACAAACUGCUAGUGGCCUGGCAGCACAUGAACACAUUCCCAUGAGAGGACAGAAGGGACUUCCUUUCCUGGUAGCUGGCGCCACUGUCAUGCCUACUUCAGACCUGAGGAAAUAAAUAUUCUGGCUGUGAAGAUGAUCACUGGCUGAACACAGAAAAACAAAACCCAGGCUUUCAAAGUGCUGGGCAGUGGUGGUGCAUACCUUUAAUCCCAGAACUCAAGAGGCAGAGGCAGGCAGAUCUCUGUGAAUUCAAGGCCAGCCUGAUCCACAGAUGUUGACAAUUGGAGCCAGGACCUUGUGCAUGUGAAGCACUUGCUCUAUGCCAGAGUGCACCUUCACCCUUUUGCUAUUCUCUACACAAGAUUAGGAUCUCCAGGCCACAUUUCCUCUUUUGUUCCUGAUGUUGAACUUGAGGGUAAGACCUUAUUGUGGAAGAUGCUACAUACUUUGGUCACAGCACAUGGAGAAAUCAAGUUGGUACUGGCAAAGCUAGCUGGCUUCCCCCCUCCUCCGCUGGCUAGCAUAGAAGGUGCUAUGUGGACUGCGGUAAAAAGUCAUCAACAAUCUUACUCAACUCCAAAUCCUGUGAACUAAAAUAAUAAUGGAUGAGAU